UACGUAGGGUGCAAGCGUUAAUCGGAAUUACUGGGCGUAAAGCGUGCGCAGGCGGCUUUGUAAGACUGUCGUGAAAUCCCCGGGCUCAACCUGGGAACUGCAUUUGUGACUGCAUCGCUGGAGUGCGGCAGAGGGGGAUGGAAUUCCGCGUGUAGCAGUGAAAUGCGUAGAUAUGCGGAGGAACACCGAUGGCGAAGGCAAUCCCCUGGGCCUGCACUGACGCUCAUGCACGAAAGCGUGGGGAGCAAACAGG
rnacentral:rRNA from 1 species